UCUUAGCUUGCUAAGGCUGAUGGCGACCGGCGCACGGGUGAGUAACACGUAUCCAACCUGCCGUCUACUCUUGGCCAGCCUUCUGAAAGGAAGAUUAAUCCAGGAUGGCAUCAUGAGUUCACAUGUCCGCAUGAUUAAAGGUAUUUUCCGGUAGACGAUGGGGAUGCGUUCCAUUAGAUAGUAGGCGGGGUAACGGCCCACCUAGUCAACGAUGGAUAGGGGUUCUGAGAGGAAGGUCCCCCACAUUGGAACUGAGACACGGUCCAAACUCCUACGGGAGGCAGCAGUGAGGAAUAUUGGUCAAUGGGCGAUGGCCUGAACCAGCCAAGUAGCGUGAAGGAUGACUGCCCUAUGGGUUGUAAACUUCUUUUAUAAAGGAAUAAAGUCGGGUAUGCAUACCCGUUUGCAUGUACUUUAUGAAUAAGGAUCGGCUAACUCCGUGCCAGCAGCCGCGGUAAUACGGAGGAUCCGAGCGUUAUCCGGAUUUAUUGGGUUUAAAGGGAGCGUAGAUGGAUGUUUAAGUCAGUUGUGAAAGUUUGCGGCUCAACCGUAAAAUUGCAGUUGAUACUGGAUGUCUUGAGUGCAGUUGAGGCAGGCGGAAUUCGUGGUGUAGCGGUGAAAUGCUUAGAUAUCACGAAGAACUCCGAUUGCGAAGGCAGCCUGCUAAGCUGCAACU
rnacentral:rRNA from 1 species